rnacentral:tRNA from 1 species
AUUUAAAUAGUUUAAUAAAAAUUUUGAUUUGUGGAAUCAAGGAUAUAGAAAUAUUUUAAAUA